UCCCAGGUGGCUCAGAUGGUAAAGCAUCUGACUACAACGUGGGAGACCCAGGUUUGAUCCCUGGGUUGGGAA
rnacentral:tRNA from 1 species